UUGAUUGACUUCCUUCUAAUC
ensembl:piRNA 21ur-3020 ncRNA